ensembl:lncRNA
GGGGUUACACAGAGGUCCAAAACAUUUAUAAACAUUGCUGGCCUGUUUUUGUGCUCUAAUAUGAUAUACUCGAAACUGGAGUAAUGCGGUCGGGAGUAUGCAGAAUACAAAUUUGAUUCACAUUUAUUUUAUUUUAUUGUUUUUACAUUUCUUCACAUUUUCAAACAGUUAAUGUAUAUUUUCAAACUGGGCUACACAUUUGGGUGAGUUGUUUUUCUCGCCUGAGUAGCCUCGUUUCACAGCCAAAAAUAAAAUUAAACCAUUCAGUGUUCAGCGAAAUAACAACACAAUGUCAAAUACAGGUAGCCUAGUCAAAUAAUUAACAUCCAAUCACAUUAACCGUUACUCUCUCACGGGAAUUCCGAUAACGGUCCGUAUGUAGCCAACUGCGCUGGUGCUCAUUCUGUUUGCUAGAAAAUUGAUAAAUGGUUUAAAAAAGGUAAGGUCCGCGUCCAUAGAGACACAUACCAGCAGUACUACACCUGCACCUGUCGACAACACAAGUUGUUCUGCUUCCACGAGCACAUCCAAUGCUAGCAUCAGUAGUUCUACAUUUGUUGUUAGCCCAGCUAGCAUGGACACUGACAGUUGUGAAUCUGAUGCAGCCGAAGAGUUACUCCCCCCUUACCCGGGAAAGCAUCUGGGGAAAAGGCCAAAAAAACGACAGAAAAUGCAUCAUUGAACAACACUGUUUCAUAAUGCAUCGGUGACAUGGCAGGAGAUGUUUAGAAACAAUUACUGCUUCGCUUACAAGCCUGUGCAUUCUAUGCGUUACGUUGGAUGAGUCAACAGACAUGGCGGGCCUGGUACAAGUACUUUAAGUUUAUGGGGGGUCAAUUAAGGAAGACAUCCUCUUCUGCAAACCACUGGAAACCAGGACAACAGGAGACAAUAUUUUUGUACUGGACAGCUUUAUGACAUCAAAUUGACUUUGGUGGUCAAGAUGUGUUGGUACCUGUACUGAUGGCGCAAAAGCCAUGACAGUGAGACAUAGUGGAGAGGUAAUACCCGUGCAAGCAGUUGCUCCCAACGCCACUUCAGUACACUGCAGCAUCCACUGAGAGGCUCUUGCUGCCAAAGGAAUGCCUGACAGCUUGAAAAACAUUUUGGACACUACAGUGAAAAUGGUUAACUUUGUUAAAGCAAGGCACCUGAACUGAUGAUGAUAUGGGCAGCGACCAUGUAACGCUUUUACAACAUACAGAAGUGCGCUGGUUAUCAAGGGGCAAGGAUUACAGGGACUCACUGCAACUAUAUUCAAUGUGCGGAACAAAAUUGAGGCUCUGAUUAAGAAGCUGGAGCUCUUCUCUAUCUGCAUUAACAAGGACAACACGCAGAUCUUUCCAUCAUUGUAUGAUUUUUUUGUGUGCAAAUGAACUCAAGCUUAUGGACAAUGUCAAAUGUGAUAUAGCGAAGCACCUGAGUGAGUUGGGUGCACAAUUACACAGGUAUGGAUGACACAAAAACUGGAUUCCUUAUCCCUUUCAUGAUUCAAAAUUGCAGCAAGCGGUUCUGUGAAAAUUGAAUUUACUCAGAGUAUCCUGCCUUGGCAAAUCGCGCUUUUAAAACACUGAUGCCCUUUUACAACCACGUGCCUAUGUGAGAGUAGAUUUUCAAGCACACCCUUCUCAUUAACCUCUGGUGAGUUUUUCACAAUUUUCUAUUAACAAAUAAAGUUUUAUGUAAGACUGCUAAAUAAAGAGCAAAAUUAUUGAUUAUUAUAUUAUUAUUAUUAUAUUGAUUAUUGGUCCUCUAAGAGCUCUUUGUCACUUCCCACAAGACGGGUGUGACAAAAACUCACACAUUCUUAUGUUUAAUAAAUGUAUUGUAUAGUGUGUGUGUGGCAGGCUUCCAAUGAUGGCAAAAAACAAAAUUUGAGAGUGCGCUGACCCUGGUGCUAGAGGGGGUACACAGCUGGAGGUUGAAUGUUUGAAGGGGUAUGGGACUAUAAAGAGUUUGGGAA